AAAGCCUCCUUCGGGGGGCAAGUAGAGUGGCGCACGGGUGAGUAACACGUAGGUAAUCUACCUUUGGAUUGGGAAUAACCAUCGGAAACGGUGGCUAAUAACGAAUAAUGCAGCGGCACCUAAUGGUGACAGUUGUUAAAGCGGGGGAUCGCAAGACCUCGCGUCUAAAGAGGAGCCUGCGGCAGAUUAGCUAGUUGGUAAGGUAACGGCUUACCAAGGCGAUGAUCUGUAGCCGGCCUGAGAGGGCGGUCGGCCACACUGACACUGACAUACGGGUCAGACUCCUACGGGAGGCAGCAGUCGGGAAUUUUGGGCAAUGGGCGAAAGCCUGACCCAGCAACGCCGCGUGAAGGAUGAAAUCCUUCGGGAUGUAAACUUCGCAAGAACGGGAAGAAUAAGUAAGAGUUAAUAUCUCUUACGAUGACGGUACUGUUUGUAAGCUCCGGCUAACUCCGUGCCAGCAGCCGCGGUAAUACGGGGGGAGCAAGCGUUGUUCGGAUUUACUGGGCGUAAAGGGCGCGUAGGCGGCCACCGCAAGUCGACUGUGAAAUCUCCGGGCUUAACCCGGAAAGGUCAGCCGAUACUGCGGGGCUAGAGUGCAGAAGGGGCAACUGGAAUUCUCGGUGUAGCGGUGAAAUGCGUAGAUAUCGAGAGGAACACCUGCGGCGAAGGCGGGUUGCUGGGCUGACACUGACGCUGAGGCGCGAAAGCUAGGGGAGCGAACGGGAUUAGAUACCCCGGUAGUCCUAGCCUUAAACGAUGAAUGCUUGGUGUCUGGGGUUUUAUAGUCCCCGGGUGCCGU
rnacentral:rRNA from 1 species